rnacentral:rRNA from 1 species
CUACGGAGGGUCCGAGCGUUAUCCGGAAUCAUUGGGUUUAAAGGGUCCGUAGGCGGGCAGCUCGGUCAGUGGUGAAAGUUUGCAGCUCAACUGUAAAAUUGCCAUUGAUACUGGUUGUCUUGAAUUAACGUGAAGUGGUUAGAAUAAGUAGUGUAGCGGUGAAAUGCAUAGAUAUUACUUAGAAUACCAAUUGCGAAGGCAGAUCACUAACAUUAUAUUGACGCUGAUGGACGAAAGCGUGGGGAGCGAACAGAAUUAGAAACCCCAGUAGUCC